AGCAACAUGCUCCAACUUCAUAUCUUGGAAGAAGCUCUUGGUGUUUAUAGACCAAUUCAGAAUAGAGGAUUCUCGUGGUAAUUUACACCCCCCCCUGAUAAGGUUGAGAUUUAGUAAGGAAGAAAGAGAUUUCCUAACGGGGAGGCUUUCAGGACAUAAUGGAAUGCCCAGGGUUUUCCGUCUUUUCCUUGUCAACACCAUAUAAACACCAGGUUGCCAAAAUUAAACCAAAAAGUGAAGGGCCUCCUAGUACAGAAAGCUACAGGCAGACUUGCAAUUGACUUUCCACACUUCGGCU